UACAGAGGGUGCAAGCGUGUUCGGAAUUAUUGGCGUAAAGGGAGUGUAGGCUGUUCCUUAAGUCUUCUGUGAAAUCUACGGGCUUAGCCUGUAACGUGCAGAGGAAACUGGGGGACUUGAGUGUCGGAGAGGGUAGCGGGAAUUCCCGGUGUAGAGGUGAAAUUCGUAGAGAUCGGGAGGAACACCAGUGGCGAAGGCGGCUACCUGGCUGACAACUGACGCUGAGACUCGAAAGCAUGGGGAGCAAACAGG
rnacentral:rRNA from 1 species